GACGAACGCUGGCGGCGUGCUUAACACAUGCAAGUCGAACGGAAAGGCCCUGCUUUUGUGGGGUGCUCGAGUGGCGAACGGGUGAGUAACACGUGAGUAACCUGCCCUUGACUUUGGGAUAACUUCAGGAAACUGGGGCUAAUACCGGAUAGGAGCUCCUGCUGCAUGGUGGGGGUUGGAAAGUUUCGGCGGUUGGGGAUGGACUCGCGGCUUAUCAGCUUGUUGGUGGGGUAGUGGCUUACCAAGGCUUUGACGGGUAGCCGGCCUGAGAGGGUGACCGGCCACAUUGGGACUGAUAUGCUGCCCAGACUCCUACGGGAGGCAGCAGUGGGGAAUAUUGCACAAUGGGCUGAAGCCUGAUGCAGCAACGCCUCGUGCGGGAUGACGGCCUUCGGGUUGUAAUCCGCUUUCGCCUGUGACGAAGCGUGAGUGACGGUAAUGGGUAAAGAAGCACCGGCUAGCUACGUG
rnacentral:rRNA from 1 species